AUGAAUCUUUUCGACAACUUGCUUACAUCAAAUUAGUAAAUAUUUCUUGAUAUUUGAUAUCGAGUUAUUCAAACACGAAGAAUUAUUCAACAGAUGGAUCCGAGACACGAUGCCACAGAAGAAUGAAGAAUGAAUAACGACAUCCCGACUCGAAUUACCCACGAGUAUAGAGAUUGGAUUCGAACGUGGCCUGGCAGCGGAAAGAAAGGAAGAAGAUGCCAUUUUCGAUCCGGAACGUCAGUCACCAACGCCAUCUGUCGAGCGGGGUUAGGUGGACGGAGGUCCAUUUAGAAGCGGACGGAGACGACGGUCUGACGGACCACCGAGUUUGGUGGUGGCCGCACUGUCAUUUUGGCGGAGGAGGGCCCCGGAAUGGCGUGUCGAAAGCCAUCAGUAAGGUUUUCCCAGAAAGCCGAGGUGGCCGAAAUGUGCGCUAUCGGACACGCUAAUGUGUUUUCUCGUUCAAUUAUAUUCUCGAUCGUCCUUCCUCGGUACAACAGCCCAACCAUUGUCAAAUGGAAUCUCUCUUUUGACUGUAAACACGAUAAUUUGCCCGCUAACAUUAGCGGCGUUUCCAAUUACUUUUACUUUAUGUAAGGUGGCGCCAUCUUUGUGCACGAACUAUUAUUAACUGGAAAUUUGUUAACAUUUUUUUCU